CGCAGAGGGGCAUGACAUCAGAUAACGGCGAGUGAAGCGGCAAAAGCUCAAAUUUGAAAUCCUUCGGGAGUUGUAAUUUGUAGGUUGGGAGACCCCGCGGCUAGUGGCACCAAGUCCCUUGGAACAGGGCGCCUUAGAGGGUGAGAGCCCCGUAGGUACCACAAUACCGUCUUGUGUCUCCUCUCAAAAGAGUCGAGUUGUUUGGGAAUGCAGCUCAUAGUGGGUGGUAAAUUCCAUCUAAAGCUAAAUACCGGCGAGAGACCGAUAGCGAACAAGUACAGUGAUGGAAAGAUGAAAAGCACUUUGAAAAGAGAGUGAAACAGUACGUGAAAUUGUUGAAAGGGAAGGGCUUGCAAGCAGACACGGCCUUCGUGCCGGGCCAGCAUCGGUUGCUAGGGGUGGAUAAGGAACAAGGAAUGUAGCUCCUCGGAGUAUUAUAGCCUUGCGCGAUACACCCACUGGCGACCGAGGCCUGCGGUAUUCCUACCUAGGAUGCUGGCGUAAUGGUUGCAAGCCGCCCGUCUUAAAAACGGGACCAAAAAAAGCCCAGGAAAUUUG
rnacentral:rRNA from 1 species